UACGGGGGGAGCAAGCGUUGUUCGGAUUUACUGGGCGUAAAGGGCGCGUAGGCGGCCACCGCAAGUCGACUGUGAAAUCUCCGGGCUUAACCCGGAACGGUCAGCCGAUACUGCAGGGCUAGAGUGCAGAAGGGGCAACUGGAAUUCUCGGUGUAGCGGUGAAAUGCGUAGAUAUCGAGAGGAACACCUGCGGCGAAGGCGGGUUGCUGGGCUGACACUGACGCUGAGGCGCGAAAGCUAGGGGAGCGAACGGG
rnacentral:rRNA from 1 species